AGUGAACGCUGGCGGUAGGCCUAACACAUGCAAGUCGAACGGCAGCACAGUAAGAGCUUGCUCUUACGGGUGGCGAGUGGCGGACGGGUGAGGAAUACAUCGGAAUCUACUUUUUCGUGGGGGAUAACGUAGGGAAACUUACGCUAAUACCGCAUACGACCUACGGGUGAAAGCAGGGGAUCUUCGGACCUUGCGCGAUUGAAUGAGCCGAUGUCGGAUUAGCUAGUUGGCGGGGUAAAGGCCCACCAAGGCGACGAUCCGUAGCUGGUCUGAGAGGAUGAUCAGCCACACUGAAACUGAGACACGGUCCAGACUCCUACGGGAGGCAGCAGUGGGGAAUAUUGGACAAAGGGCGCAAGCCUGAUCCAGCCAUACCGCGUGGGUGAAGAAGGCCUUCGGGUUGUAAAGCCCUUUUGUUGGGAAAGAAAAGCAGCAGGUUAAUACCCCGCUGUUCUGACGGUACCCAAAGAAUAAGCACCGGCUAACUUCGUG
rnacentral:rRNA from 1 species